UACGAAGGGGGCUAGCGUUGCUCGGAAUCACUGGGCGUAAAGCGCACGUAGGCGGAUCUUUAAGUCAGGGGUGAAAUCCUGGAGCUCAACUCCAGAACUGCCUUUGAUACUGGGGAUCUCGAGUCCGGAAGAGGUGAGUGGAACUCCGAGUGUAGAGGUGAAAUUCGUAGAGAUCAUGAGGAAGACCAGUGGCGAAGGCGGGUCUCUGGACAGUUCCUGACACUGAGGCACGAAGGCCAGGGGAGCAAACGGG
rnacentral:rRNA from 1 species